GAAGACCUGGGGACAAUACUCCUUGAACUUGAAAUGACUGGGCAGAUUUUCCCUGGAAUAUGGGUUUUCAAGAAGGAAAGACUGUGUCUCGAGGUGAUUUAGCAGCCUGCCUGAGUCACAUGGCUGGUAUCUCCUAACAAACAGGACCAGUCCUUCCAGACCACUCUGACCCAGUUCUCUGCAGUAGGUCCCCACCUGCCUAGGUGUAAGAUAAAGGAAGAGCAGCUGCUUACAGACGGAAGGCAGGCAAUCAGAGGGUAUGAGUUCAUUAGGCCUCUGUUCCCUAAAGUUAAGCCAACCCACAGCCCAAAGGAUGUAAGCAUUGCUUGCUCUCCUCAGCCCCCAGGAUCUGCAGUCUGCUCCAGUACUUAGAAAUCCUGAGAUGUGCUUUCUCCUUGCUACAGUAUCUUUCACCCACCUUUAACAGUGCAUGUAUCACAUGACUCUAAUCACUAGUUUAUGUAAAUUCCCCCACCUAAAUUGUGAGCUCUUCAAGAGCAAGGGCCCAUUCUAGUCAUCUACAUUUCUCAGGUGUCCAGCUAGAACAAUAUUUGGCACAUAGUGGUCCUGAAGUGUUUAUUAACUAAAUAAACGAAUGCCUUGCCUAUA